rnacentral:rRNA from 1 species
CCCUUAGAUGUUCUGGGCCGCACGCGCGCUACAAUGAUGAAUUCAACGAGUUUAUAACCUUGGUUGAAAAGCCUGGGUAAUCUUUUGAACUUUCGUCGUGAUGGGGCUAGACCCUUGCAAUUAUUGGUCUCCAACGAGGAAUUCCUAGUAAACGCAAGUCAUCAGCUUGCAUUGAUUACGUCCCUGCCCUUUGUACACACCGCCCGUCGUACCUACCGAUUGAAUGGUCCGGUGAAAUCUUCGGAUUGAGACUUUGAUUUCUUCACGGAAAACGCUGUUUUAAAAAGUUGAUUAAACCUUACCAUUUAGAGGAAGGUGAAGUCGUAACA